rnacentral:rRNA from 1 species
AUUGAACGCUGGCGGCAGGCCUAACACAUGCAAGUCGAGCGGAUGAAGGGAGCUUGCUCCUGGAUUCAGCGGCGGACGGGUGAGUAAUGCCUAGGAAUCUGCCUGGUAGUGGGUGAUAACGUCCGGAAACGGGCGCUAAUACCGCAUACGUCCUGAGGGAGAAAGUGGGGGAUCUUCGGACCUCACGCUAUCAGAUGAGCCUAGGUCGGAUUAGAUAGUUGGUGGGGUAAAGGCCUACCAAGGCGACGAUCCGUAACUGGUCUGAGAGGAUGAUCAGUCACACUGGAACGGAGACACGGUCCAGAGUACUAAGGGAGGCAGCAGUGGGGAAUAUUGGGCAGUGGGCGGAAGCCUGAUACAGUCAUGCCGAGUGUGUGAAGAAGGUGUUCGGAUUGUAAAGCAGUUUAAGUUGGGAGGAAGGGCAGUAAGUUAAUACCUUGCUGUUUUGACGUUAACAAGAGAAUAAGCACCGGCUAACUUCGUG